rnacentral:piRNA from 1 species
UCAGGUCCAUUAGACGAGCAUUCAAACGA